rnacentral:rRNA from 1 species
AGAGUUUGAUCAUGGCUCAGGAUGAACGCUAGCGGCAGGCUUAACACAUGCAAGUCGAACGGUAAGGCUCACUUCGGUGAGUACACGAGUGGCGCACGGGUGCGUAACGCGUAUGCAACCUACCUUUAACAGGAGGAUAGCCCCGAGAAAUUGGGAUUAAUACUCCAUAACAUCAUAAAUAUGCAUAUAUUAAUGAUUAAAGUUCCGACGGUUAAAGAUGGGCAUGCGUGACAUUAGCUAGUUGGUAAGGUAACGGCUUACCAAGGCAACGAUGUCUAGGGGUUCUGAGAGGAUUAUCCCCCACACUGGUACUGAGACACGGACCAGACUCCUACGGGAGGCAGCAGUGAGGAAUAUUGGUCAAUGGACGCAAGUCUGAACCAGCCAUGCCGCGUGCAGGAUGACGGCCCUAUGGGUUGUAAACUGCUUUUAUAUGGGAAGAAUCCCUUUCUCGUGAGGAAGGCUGACGGUACCAUAUGAAUAAGCACCGGCUAACUCCGUGCCAGCAGCCGCGGUAAUACGGAGGGUGCAAGCGUUAUCCGGAUUUAUUGGGUUUAAAGGGUGCGCAGGCGGAUUAAUAAGUCAGUGGUGAAAUCUCAUGGCUCAACCAUGAAACUGCCAUUGAUACUGUUAGUCUAGAGUAUAGAUGAAGUAGGCGGAAUGUAGCAUGUAGCGGUGAAAUGCAUAGAUAUGCUACAGAACUCCAAUUGCGAAGGCAGCUUACUAAGCUAUUACUGACGCUCAGGCACGAAAGCGUGGGUAGCGAACAGGAUUAGAUACCCUGGUAGUCCACGCCGUAAACGAUGAUCACUCGAUGUUGGCGAUACACAGUCAGCGUCCAAGCGAAAGUGUUAAGUGAUCCACCUGGGGAGUACGAUCGCAAGGUUGAAACCCAAAGGAAUUGACGGGGGCCCGCACAAGCGGAGGAGCAUGUGGUUUAAUUCGAUGAUACGCGAGGAACCUUACCUGGGCUUAAAUGUAGAUUGCAUAGGAUGGAAACAUUCUUUUCUUCGGACUAUUUACAAGGUGCUGCAUGGUUGUCGUCAGCUCGUGCCGUGAGGUGUCGGGUUAAGUCCCAUAACGAGCGCAACCCCUAUCCUUAGUUGCCAGCACAUAAUGGUGGGGACUCUAAGGAAACUGCCGGCGCAAGCCGAGAGGAAGGUGGGGAUGACGUCAAAUCAGCACGGCCCUUACGUCCAGGGCUACACACGUGCUACAAUGGCCGAUACAAAGGGCAGCUACCUGGUGACAGGAUGCUAAUCUCGAAAGUCGGUCUCAGUUCGGAUCGAAGUCUGCAACUCGACUUCGUGAAGUUGGAUUCGCUAGUAAUCGUGUAUCAGCCAUGACACGGUGAAUACGUUCCCGGGCCUUGUAUACACCGCCCGUCAAGCCAUGGAAGCUGGGGGUACCUAAAGUCUGUAACCGCAAGGAGCAGCCUAGGGUAAAACUAGUAACUGGGGCUAAGUCGUAACAAGGUA